CAGGUUUGAUCCUGGCUCAGGAUGAACGCUAGCGGCAGGCUUAACACAUGCAAGUCGAGGGGCAGCGGGGUGUAGCAAUACACUGCCGGCGACCGGCGCACGGGUGCGUAACGCGUAUGCAACCUACCCAUAACAGGGGCAUAACACUGAGAAAUUGGUACUAAUUCCCCAUAACAUUCGAAGAGGCAUCUCUUUGGGUUGAAAACUCCGGUGGUUAUGGAUGGGCAUGCGUUGUAUUAGCUAGUUGGUGGGGUAACGG
rnacentral:rRNA from 1 species